GGCGGGCGGGACGGGUGAAGUAACACGGUGGGUAACCUACCUAUAAGACUGGGAUAACUCCGGGAAACCGGGGCUAAUACCGGAUAANACAUGAAACCGCAUGGUUUCAUGAUGAAAGACGGUUUUGCUGUCACUUAUAGAUGGACCCGCGGCGUAUUAGCUAGUUGGUAAGGUAACGGCUUACCAAGGCAACGAUACGUAGCCGACCUGAGAGGGUGAUCGGCCACACUGGAACUGAGACACGGUCCAGACUCCUACGGGAGGCAGCAGCG
rnacentral:rRNA from 1 species